CGGGGUGUAGCUCAGCCCGGCUAGAGUGCUUGCUUUGGGAGCAAGAUGUCGCUGGUUCAAAUCCAGUCACCCCGA
rnacentral:tRNA from 1 species